GAUCCAGAUCUAAUAUUUUAUAAUGUGACUUCAGUCUGAACGUCCAGGUCGCAUUUAUCCGACCUUUACGACAUUGAAAUGCGACAAACGUCCCAGUUGUUGGUCGCAGCGGAGGAAAACCAUAUUUCCUUCUGUAAACACAGUGUGUGUCUG